rfam:Fukomys damarensis contig134974, whole genome shotgun sequence.
GUCUGCGGCUAUACCACCCUGAACACCGUGAUCUCAUCUGAUCUCAGAAGCUUAGCAGGGUCGGGCCUGGUUAGUACUCGGAUGGGAGAAUAUACACUUGUGAAAAGAAAUGGAAGAAAUAGCAU